GGUUAAGUUAGAAAGGGCGCACGGUGGAUGCCUUGGCACUAGGAGCCGAUGAAGGACGGGACGAACACCGAUAUGCUUCGGGGAGCUGUAAGCAAGCUUUGAUCCGGAGAUUUCCGAAUGGGGAAACCCACCACUCGUAAUGGAGUGGUAUCCAUAUCUGAAUACAUAGGAUAUGAGAAGGCAGACCCGGGGAACUGAAACAUCUAAGUACCCGGAGGAAGAGAAAGCAAAUGCGAUUCCCUGAGUAGCGGCGAGCGAAACGGGACCAGCCCAAACCAAGAGGCUUGCCUCUUGGGGUUGUAGGACACUCUGUACGGAGUUACAAAGGAACGAGGUAGAUGAAGAGGUCUGGAAAGGCCCGCCAUAGGAGGUAACAGCCCUGUAGUCAAAACUUCGUUCUCUCCUGAGUGGAUCCUGAGUACGGCGGAACACGUGAAAUUCCGUCGGAAUCCGGGAGGACCAUCUCCCAAGGCUAAAUACUCCCUAGUGACCGAUAGUGAACCAGUACCGUGAGGGAAAGGUGAAAAGCACCCCGGAAGGGGAGUGAAAGAGAUCCUGAAACCGUGUGCCUACAAGUAGUCAGAGCCCGUUAACGGGUGAUGGCGUGCCUUUUGUAGAAUGAACCGGCGAGUUACGAUCCCGUGCAAGGUUAAGCAGAAGAUGCGGAGCCGCAGCGAAAGCGAGUCUGAAUAGGGCGGAUUGAGUACGUGGUCGUAGACCCGAAACCAGGUGAUCUACCCAUGUCCAGGGUGAAGUUCAGGUAACACUGAAUGGAGGCCCGAACCCACGCACGUUGAAAAGUGCGGGGAUGAGGUGUGGGUAGGGGUGAAAUGCCAAUCGAACCUGGAGAUAGCUGGUUCUCUCCGAAAUAGCUUUAGGGCUAGCCUCAAGGUAAGAGUCUCGGAGGUAGAGCACUGAUUGGACUAGGGGCCCCUACCGGGUUACCGAAUUCAGUCAAACUCCGAAUGCCGAUGACUUAUCCUUGGGAGUCAGACUGCGAGUGAUAAGAUCCGUAGUCGAAAGGGAAACAGCCCAGACCGCCAGCUAAGGUCCCAAAGUAUACGUUAAGUGGAAAAGGAUGUGGAGUUGCUUAGACAACCAGGAUGUUGGCUUAGAAGCAGCCACCAUUUAAAGAGUGCGUAAUAGCUCACUGGUCGAGUGACUCUGCGCCGAAAAUGUACCGGGGCUAAACGUAUCACCGAAGCUGCGGACUGUUCUUCGAACAGUGGUAGGAGAGCGUUCUAAGGGCUGUGAAGCAAGACCGGAAGGACUUGUGGAGCGCUUAGAAGUGAGAAUGCCGGUAUGAGUAGCGAAAGAGGGGUGAGAAUCCCCUCCACCGAAUGCCUAAGGUUUCCUGAGGAAGGCUCGUCCGCUCAGGGUUAGUCGGGACCUAAGCCGAGGCCGAAAGGCGUAGGCGAUGGAUAACAGGUUGAUAUUCCUGUACCACCUCCUCACCAUUUGAGCAAUGGGGGACGCAGGAGGAUAGGGUAAGCGCGGUAUUGGAUAUCCGCGUCCAAGCAGUUAGGCUGGGAAAUAGGCAAAUCCGUUUCCCGCGAAGGCUGAGCUGUGAUGGCGAGCGAAUUAUAGUAGCGAAGUUCCUGAUUCCACACUGCCAAGAAAAGCCUCUAGCGAGGUGAGAGGUGCCCGUACCGCAAACCGACACAGGUAGGCGAGGAGAGAAUCCUAAGGUGAUCGAGAGAACUCUCGUUAAGGAACUCGGCAAAAUGACCCCGUAACUUCGGGAGAAGGGGUGCUCUGUUAGGGUGCAAGCCCGAGAGAGCCGCAGUGAAUAGGCCCAGGCGACUGUUUAGCAAAAACACAGGUCUCUGCGAAGCCGUAAGGCGAAGUAUAGGGGCUGACGCCUGCCCGGUGCUGGAAGGUUAAGAGGAGCGCUUAGCGUAAGCGAAGGUGCGAAUUGAAGCCCCAGUAAACGGCGGCCGUAACUAUAACGGUCCUAAGGUAGCGAAAUUCCUUGUCGGGUAAGUUCCGACCCGCACGAAAGGCGCAACGAUCUGGGCACUGUCUCAACGAGAGACUCGGUGAAAUUAUAGUACCUGUGAAGAUGCAGGUUACCCGCGACAGGACGGAAAGACCCCGUGGAGCUUUACUGCAGCCUGAUAUUGAAUGUUGGUACAGCUUGUACAGGAUAGGUAGGAGCCUUGGAAACCGGAGCGCCAGCUUCGGUGGAGGCAUCGGUGGGAUACUACCCUGGCUGUAUUGACCUUCUAACCCGCCGCCCUUAUCGGGCGGGGAGACAGUGUCAGGUGGGCAGUUUGACUGGGCGGUCGCCUCCUAAAAGGUAACGGAGGCGCCCAAAGGUUCCCUCAGAAUGGUUGGAAAUCAUUCGCAGAGUGUAAAGGCACAAGGGAGCUUGACUGCGAGACCUACAAGUCGAGCAGGGACGAAAGUCGGGCUUAGUGAUCCGGUGGUUCCGCAUGGAAGGGCCAUCGCUCAACGGAUAAAAGCUACCCCGGGGAUAACAGGCUUAUCUCCCCCAAGAGUCCACAUCGACGGGGAGGUUUGGCACCUCGAUGUCGGCUCAUCGCAUCCUGGGGCUGUAGUCGGUCCCAAGGGUUGGGCUGUUCGCCCAUUAAAGCGGUACGCGAGCUGGGUUCAGAACGUCGUGAGACAGUUCGGUCCCUAUCCGUCGCGGGCGCAGGAAAUUUGAGAGGAGCUGUCCUUAGUACGAGAGGACCGGGAUGGACGCACCGCUGGUGUACCAGUUGUUCUGCCAAGGGCAUCGCUGGGUAGCUAUGUGCGGACGGGAUAAGUGCUGAAAGCAUCUAAGCAUGAAGCCCCCUCAAGAUGAGAUUUCCCAUUCCGCAAGGAAGUAAGAUCCCUGAAAGAUGAUCAGGUUGAUAGGUCUGAGGUGGAAGUGUGGCGACACAUGGAGCUGACAGAUACUAAUCGAUCGAGGACUUAACCAA
rnacentral:rRNA from 1 species